AAUAGCUGCGGUAACACCUGACCGUACAAAGGUAGCACAAUAAAUAGCCUACUAAUUAUAGGAUUGCAUGAAGGCAAAACGAAGUUUAAACUGUCUCAAGACCCUUCUACAAAAAUAGAAUGUGUGUACAAAUCCACACUUAAUCGGCAAGACGAUAAGACCCUAAGAACUUUAAGUUUCAAGUUUCGUUGGGGCAACGAUCUCAAAAAAAAUAAAUGAGACAAGACCCGCUAAUAAAUUAACGAACAAAAAAUAAAAGUUCCUUAGGGAUAACAGCGUAAUAUUGUCCCUAAAGAUCAACUCAAACAAUGUUUGCGACCUCGAU
rnacentral:rRNA from 1 species